GACGAACGUUGGCGGCGUGCUUAACACAUGCAAGUCGAACGGAAAGGCCCUGCUUUUGUGGGGUGCUCGAGUGGCGAACGGGUGAGUAACACGUGAGCAACCUGCCCUUGACUUUGGGAUAACUUCAGGAAACUGGGGCUAAUACCGGAUAGGAGCUCCUGCUGCAUGGUGGGGGUUGGAAAGUUUCGGCGGUUGGGGAUGGACUCGCGGCUUAUCAGCUUGUUGGUGGGGUAGUGGCUUACCAAGGCUUUGACGGGUAGCCGGCCUGAGAGGGUGACCGGCCACAUUGGGACUGAGAUACGGCCCAGACUCCUACGGGAGGCAGCAGUGGGGAAUAUUGCACAAUGGGCGGAAGCCUGAUGCAGCAACGCCGCGUGCGGGAUGACGGCCUUCGGGUUGUAAACCGCUUUCGCCUGUGACGAAGCGUGAGUGACGGUAAUGGGUAAAGAAGCACCGGCUAACUACGUGCCAGCAGCCGCGGUGAUACGUAGGGUGCGAGCGUUGUCCGGAUUUAUUGGGCGUAAAGGGCUCGUAGGUGGUUGAUCGCGUCGGAAGUGUAAUCUUGGGGCUUAACCCUGAGCGUGCUUUCGAUACGGGUUGACUUGAGGAAGGUAGGGGAGAAUGGAAUUCCUGGUGGAGCGGUGGAAUGCGCAGAUAUCAGGAGGAACACCAGUGGCGAAGGCGGUUCUCUGGGCCUUUCCUGACGCUGAGGAGCGAAAGCGUGGGGAGCGAACAGGCUUAGAUACCCUGGUAGUCCACGCUGUAAACGGUGGGUACUAGGUGUGGGGUCCAUUCCACGGGUUCCGUGCCGUAGCUAACGCUUUAAGUACCCCGCCUGGGGAGUACGGCCGCAAGGCUAAAACUCAAAGGAAUUGACGGGGCCCCGCACAAGCGGCGGAGCAUGCGGAUUAAUUCGAUGCAACGCGUAGAACCUUACCUGGGUUUGACAUGGAUCGGGAGUGCUCAGAGAUGGGUGUGCCUCUUUUGGGGUCGGUUCACAGGUGGUGCAUGCCUGUCGUCAGCUCGUGUCGUGAGAUGUUGGGUUAAGUCCCGCAACGAGCGCAACCCUUGUUCACUGUUGCCAGCACGUUAUGGUGGGGACUCAGUGGAGACCGCCGGGGUCAACUCGGAGGAAGGUGGGGAUGACGUCAAGUCCUCAUGCCCCUUAUGUCCAGGGCUUCACGCAUGCUACAAUGGCUGGUACAGAGAGUGGCGAGCCUGUGAGGGUGAGCGAAUCUCGGAAAGCCGGUCUCAGUUCGGAUUGGGGUCUGCAACUCGACCUCAUGAAGUCGGAGUCGCUAGUAAUCGCAGAUCAGCAACGCUGCGGUGAAUACGUUCCCGGG
rnacentral:rRNA from 1 species